GUGAGGAAUAUUGCGCAAUGGGCGAAAGCCUGACGCAGCGACGCCGCGUGGAGGAUGAAGGUCUUCGGAUUGUAAACUUCUGUUAAGUGGGAAGAAAGGGCUGCUUUUAAUAGAAGCAGUUAAUGACGGUACCAUUAAAGAAAGCACCGGCUAAACUCGUGCCAGCAGCCGCGGUAAUACGAGUGGUGCAAGCGUUAUUCGGAAUAAUUGGGCGUACAGGGUGUGUAGGCGGUAUGUUAAGUCUGUUGUUAAAGACUCCGGCCUAACCGGAGACAGGCAGCGGAAACUGGCGUACUAGAGGGUGGAAGAGAGAAGUGGAAUUCUCGGUGUAGCGGUAAAAUGCGUAGAUAUCGAGAGGAACACCGAUGGCGAAGGCAGCUUCUUGGUCCAUACCUGACGCUGAAACACGAAAGCGUGGGGAGCAAACAGGAUUAGAAACCCGAGUAGUCC
rnacentral:rRNA from 1 species